GGUACCUGCAGUAUAAAUGGUUCAUGUUACAAUGAAACCCAGCAGAACCCAGCAAGGACAUGCCAGAUUUGUGAUCCCAGAGUGUCAAACACAGAGUGGACAGAUCUGAGUGAAAAUUGUGAAAUUGAGGGGAUCUGUAUUGGCAGCCUUGAAUCAAGAAGAGAUCAUGUGUGUCACAUUUGUUCUCCCACCACUUCUAGAACCUCUUGGACAAUCAAGAAUGGUACCUGCAGUAUAAAUGGUUCAUGCUACAAUGAAAACCAGCAGAACCCAGCAAGACCAUGUCAGAUUUGUGAUCCCAGAAUAUCACAUACAGUGUGGAUUGUUUUGAAUAACACUUGCUUGAUAGAUGGUGUUUGUUACAAUACAUGUCAAGCAAACCCAGUGGACAAUACUACAGUCUGUCAUUCCAGUACCACGGCAUACAACUGGACUUCAGCUGAUGCAUGUGACCAAAGAAAUGAUAUUGAGAGC